UGCAUAGCAUAGCCGAAUUUCCUAAGGAAAUCGGGGGAACCAUAAAGUUGUCUAAAUGGAUGAACCUGCUGAAAGCAAAGCAGUUCAACAUUAGAUAGCAUGGGGUGAAUUUUAGCGGUGAAGCAUCGUCUUCUUCCGCUGAAUAGGGCUGCCUGUCCAGGCCCGAAUCCGUCAGCUAACCUCGAAGGCGUAUUGGAACAGGACU
rnacentral:sRNA from 2 species